GAAGGGACUCUCUUCAAGGGAAAUGAGGCUCCUUCAGAUCAGGGAUUGAAUGCAGAAGAGUUGGCACUGUAUGUCGUCUCCUGAGAAUGCUUAUCAAAUAUCAGCACUGCUGCUGGAACUAUGGAGAAACUGAAAAGUUGAAGAGGCUUCCUAAGGCCACAGGGUAAGGUUCAUUAUUUCAAGUGACAGAUUUUGGCAUUAACAGCACACUCAAAGGCGGUUUGAGAAGUCCAGGGAAAGAACACUCUACAUCAAAAAUGCCUCCGCUGACAGUGGAAAGGAUCCUGUAUACACAUGCUAGGAUGAACAGUCUGAGUGAAGCUGAAUUUCCAUAAGCUCAAGAUUUGGCAAGAAAAGAUAUCAAGGCAAAAAUGCAAUAAAUGUGGGUCCUGGU